UUUUUCAACAGAGACCAUACAUGAUUAUUUAGAAGUAAGGAGUGGAUCUACAGAAACUAGCACUGUUAUUGGGAGACUAAGUGGUCCUCAGUUACCCGCCUCUCUGUUCAGCACAACUCAUGAAACAAGUUUGUACUUUCACAGCGAUUAUUCACAGAACAAACAAGGAUUUCAUAUUGUGUACCAGGCCUAUCAGCUACAAAGCUGUCCUGAUCCUCGACCAUUUCGUAAUGGUUUUGUUAUUGGGAAUGACUUUACUGUGGGACAAACUAUUUCAUUUGAAUGUUUUCCUGGAUACACCUUAAUUGGAAAUUCAGCUUUGACUUGUCUUCAUGGCAUCAGCCGUAACUGGAAUCAUCCC